AUAUCAAUAAGCGGAGGAAAAGAAACCAACAGGGAUUGCCUCAGUAACGGCGAGUGAAGCGGCAAAAGCUCAAAUUUGAAAUCGCCCCGGCGAGUUGUAAUUUGAAGAUUGUGUUUUGGAGACGACCGUGUCUAUGUUCCUUGGAACAGGACGUCACAGAGGGUGAGAAUCCCGUGCGAUGCGGCCUCCGUCUCUCUAUAAAACACUCUCGACGAGUCGAGUUGUUUGGGAAUGCAGCUCAAAGUGGGUGGUAAAUUCCAUCUAAAGCUAAAUACAGGCGAGAGACCGAUAGCGAACAAGUACAGUGAUGGAAAGAUGAAAAGCACUUUGAAAAGAGAGUGAAACAGUACGUGAAAUUGUUGAAAGGGAAGGGCAUGCCGUCAGAUUGCCAGUAUCGAUUAGCGAGGAAGGACAAAAGUGUUGGAACGUGGCCCUCGGGUGUUUAUAGCCUUCACCAAUACUUCCUCUGCUGAUCGAGGACUGCUUUAAGGAUACUGGCGUAAUGACGGUACGCCGC
rnacentral:rRNA from 1 species